GUCAAGUCAUCAUCGGCCCUUAUGUCCGAGGGCGACACACGUGCUACAAUGGCCGGCACAGGCGGGAAGCGAGGGGGCGACCUUGAGCGGAUCCCUCAAAGCCGGUCUCAGUUCGGAUUGCAGUCUGCAACUCGACUGCAUGAAGUUGGAAUCGCUAGUAAUCGUGGAUCAGCCAAGCCGCGGUGAAUACGUUCCCGGGCCUU
rnacentral:rRNA from 1 species